GAUGAAGAACGUAGCGAAAUGCGAUACGUAAUGUGAAUUGCAGAAUUCAGUGAAUCAUCGAAUCUUUGAACGCAUAUUGCGCUCUCUGGUAUUCCGGAGAGCAUGCUUGUUUGAGUAUCAGUAAACACCUCAACUUCCAUAUCUUUUUUGAAAUGGGAGUUGGACUUGAGUGAUCCCAACGCUUUUCCUCACCGAAAAGUGGCGGGUUACUUGAAAUGCAGGUGCAGCUGGACUUUUCUCUGAGCUAUAAGCAUAUCUAUUUAGUCUGCCUAAAAAACAGAUUAUUACCUUUGCUGCAGCUAACAUAAAGGAGAUUAGUUCUUAUGCUGACUGAUGCAGGAUUCACAAAGACAGGCUUCGGCCGACUUUGUAAACUCGAUCUCAAAUCAAGUAAGACUACCCGCUGAACUUAAGCAUAUCAAUAAGCGGAGGA
rnacentral:misc_RNA from 1 species